rnacentral:lncRNA from 1 species
GUGGGGGUUGAGUAAAAACAGAAUACCAGGGACUUGGGGCAUUGCUCUACAUGAUUGAUGACCAUAGAAUUAUAGAGCCGAGGCCACAUGUCAGGAGCCUCGUGUCUGGAAGCAUGGCAAAUAUCCUUCUGUCUCUUGCAGAGUUAUCUGCUGGGUCUCCAGGGUUUUAGCCUAUUCAACCAGAAAACAGGCUGCCUUUUAUGGUCCCACACUGUAGUGAGAAUUUUUUUUAAAUAGUUAUGUUACAUCACUACAUUUUUUAUUUAAUCCCAGGUGUGGAAUAUGGGGCCACUUCACUUUGUCUGUACUCCCUGCUCAUGGUACUAAUUUCUACACAUGGCUGAUAUGGAUGGCAGCACCUCAUCAAUACCAAACUUGGCCUUUUCCUGGAGACAAGAACAUUUUGCUGUUACACAGGGAUUUCCAGACAAGCAUGGGCUUCAUGAAGCAGUCCUGUCUGAAAAAAUAUAUAAGGAAGAUUAGUAAAAUAGAAAUGUCAAGCAUGAUGGCACAUACUAUAAUUUCAGCGUUCAGAGGAAGGCUAAUGCAGACGACUGACUUUGCUUUUCAUCUGCUACUUUAUGGGCGAUGCCCCCAAUAG